GGAUAGCUCACAAGUUGGUAGAGCGUGAGCCUCUUGAUCACAGGGUCGUGGGUUCGAGACCCACGUUGAGCA